rnacentral:rRNA from 1 species
CCUACGGGUGACAGCAGUGGGGAAUAUUGCGCAAUGGGCGCAAGCCUGAUGCAGCAACGCCGCGUGAGGGAAGAAGGCUUUCGGAUUGUAAACUUCUGUUAGCAGGGAAGAGGAAGGACCGGUCCCCCAGAGAAAACCACGGCUAAAUACGCGUCAGCAGCCGCGGGGAUACGUAGGUGGCAAACGUUUUUCGGGAAAACUGGGCGUAAAGGGGGAGUGGGCGGGAAAACAAGUCAUAUGUUAAAUAUAUAGGCUUAACCUGUGGAAUGCAUAUGAAACUGUUUAACUAGAGUACAGGAGAGGUAAGUGGAAUUCCUAGUGUAGCGGUGAAAUGCGUAGAUAUUAGGAAGAACACCAGUGGCGAAGGCGACUUACUGGACUGCAACUGACGCUGAGGCGCGAGAGCAUGGGGAGCAAACAGGAUUAGAUACCCCAGUAGUC